UACGAAGGGGGCUAGCGUUGUUCGGAAUCACUGGGCGUAAAGCGCACGUAGGCGGAUCUUUAAGUCAGAGGUGAAAUCCCAAGGCUCAACCUUGGAACUGCCUUUGAUACUGGGGAUCUUGAGUCCGGGAGAGGUGAGUGGAACUGCGAGUGUAGAGGUGAAAUUCGUAGAUAUUCGCAAGAACACCAGUGGCGAAGGCGCUCACUGGCCCGGUACUGACGCUGAGGUGCGAAAGGCGUGGGGAGCAAACAGG
rnacentral:rRNA from 1 species